UUAAUUGAAGAGUUUGAUCAUGGCUCAGAUUGAACGCUGGCGGUAGGCUUAACACAUGCAAGUCGAGCGGAAACGAAGAAUAGCUUGCUAUUCUGGCGUCGAGCGGCGGACGGGUGAGUAAUGCUUGGGAAUCUGCCUAGUCGAGGGGGACAACAGUUGGAAACGACUGCUAAUACCGCAUACGACCUACGGGUGAAAGGGGGCCUCUUCUUGAAAGCUCUCGCGACUAGAUGAGCCCAAGUGGGAUUAGCUUGUUGGUGAGGUAAGAGCUCACCAAGGCGACGAUCCCUAGCUGGUCUGAGAGGAUGAUCAGCCACACUGGAACUGAGACACGGUCCAGACUCCUACGGGAGGCAGCAGUGGGGAAUAUUGCACAAUGGAGGAAACUCUGAUGCAGCCAUACCGCGUGUAUGAAGAAGGCCUUAGGGUUGUUAAGUACUUUCAGCGAGGAGGAAAGGUGGUAGCUUAAUACGUUAUCACUGUGACGUUACUCGCUGA
rnacentral:rRNA from 1 species